GUCGUCAGCUCGUGUCGUGAGAUGUUGGGUUAAGUCCCGCAACGAGCGCAACCCUCGACCUUAGUUGCCAGCAUUCAGUUGGGCACUCUAAGGUGACUGCCGGCUAAAAAGUCGGAGGAAGGUGGGGAUGACGUCAAAUCAUCAUGCCCCUUAUGACCUGGGCUACACACGUGCUACAAUGGGCGGUACAAAGGGUCGCGAACCCGCGAGGGGGAGCCAAUCCCAAAAAGCCGCUCUCAGUUCGGAUUGCAGGCCGCAACUCGCCUGCAUGAAGCCGGAAUCGCUAGUAAUCGCGGAUCAGCAUGCCGCGGUGAAUACGUUCCCGGGCCUU
rnacentral:rRNA from 1 species